rnacentral:lncRNA from 1 species
CAAAGAAGACAAAAGUCUCUGGAUUUGAUCAUCUCUAGGCUUCAGCUUGAUAUGAAAAGUUGAAAGUAUGUGCGAGGGUACAAAAAGACUCUGAAGAUGAUCAGAAAAGGCAAAGAGAAGUUUGUUAUCCUUGACAACUGAUGCCCAGCAUUGAGGAAAUCUGAAAUAGAAUAUUAUGCCAUGUUGGCUAAAACUGGUGUCAAUUACUACAGUGGCAAUAAUACUGAAUUUGGCACAGUGUGUGGAAAACACUACAGAGUAUGCACACUGGCUAUCACUGACCCAGGUGAUUCUGAUAUUAUUAGAAGCAUGCCAGAACAGACUGGUGAGAAG